rnacentral:rRNA from 1 species
CCUACGGGGUGCUGCAGUGGGGAAUAUUGGACAAUGGGCGAAAGCCUGAUCCAGCCAUGCCGCGUGUGUGAAGAAGGCCUUCGGGUUGUAAAGCACUUUCAGUGGGGAAGAAAGCCUUGGGGCUAAUACCCUCGAGGAAGGACAUCACCCACAGAAGAAGCACCGGCUAACUCCGUGCCAGCAGCCGCGGUAAUACGGAGGGUGCGAGCGUUAAUCGGAAUUACUGGGCGUAAAGCGCGCGUAGGCGGUCUGAUAAGCCGGUUGUGAAAGCCCCGGGCUCAACCUGGGAACGGCAUCCGGAACUGUCAGGCUAGAGUGCAGGAGAGGAAGGUAGAAUUCCCGGUGUAGCGGUGAAAUGCGUAGAGAUCGGGAGGAAUACCACUGGCGAAGGCGGCCUUCUGGACUGACACUGACGCUGAGGUGCGAAAGCGUGGGUAGCAAACAGGAUUAGAUACCCCAGUAGU